UGCAAGGCCACUCAACCAUGUGCUAGCUGGAGUGAUCUUUAUUCACAAUGUCUUUACAAAGGCUCCUGCAACACAGCAGCAAUGGCAAUUUGGCGGACUUCUGCGCUGGGCCAGCGUAUAGCUCUUACUCCACACUCACCGGCAGCCUUACGAUGGACGAUAAUAGAAGGAUUCAAAUGCUAGCAGACACGGUGGCUACUCUGCCUCGGGGACGAAAGCAGCUUGCUUUGACCAGAUCAAGUUCUUUAAGUGACUUUUCCUGGUCUCAAAGCUUGUUACUGUGGAGAAGCAGGAUAAUGAAACAUUUGGAUUUGAAAUUCAGUCUUACAGGCCCCAGAAUCAGAAUGCCUGCUCCUCGGAAAUGUUCACUUUGAUAUGCAAAAUACAGGAGGACAGCCCAGCUCACUGUGCUGGCCUGCAAGCUGGUAACUUAAAUUUUUGCUCAUGUUAGGAAUCAUUUAAAUGGAAAGAAAAUAAAAUGUUUUGAGAGUGAAGGUCAGGAUGUAUUUGUUGCUUUGAGUUUUCUUGGCUCCUUUAUGUUUUUAAGACUUGGAGCUGCUUGUUUCAUUUGCAUGUCAGGAGGGAUUAUUUAACUAACCAACAUAACACUCAUUUUUCUUGGCAUCUCCCAGGUGAUGUCCUUGCAAAUAUCAAUGGUGUGAGCACAGAAGGUUUUACCUACAAACAAGUCGUUGACCUGAUCAGAUCGUCCGGAAACCUGCUAACGUAACUAUCUGUCUAGUUCCCGUGGGGCUUCAAAAUGUUAUGUUUUCUCAUAAAGCCUGAUGAGUGAAUAAAUAGGCCUUUUGUUCAGCAUUACAAGACGGAGUGAGGCAGUGCACCGGAGCUUUAGAGUGGGGUACAAACAUUAUCAGUUCCUUUUGUUUCUCAAGAUUCCUCACACUUGAACAUACUGUCAACAUCUGAAGUCAGAGGACAUCAAUAGCCCAAACGUCUGUGUGGGAAGGAUGGCCUUUACAAAUGUAUUUUUUUAAUGUCAAAUUCAAUUAAACUGGCACACAUUCUCUUUAAACUGGGAAGAACUGAUCCAAUUUUCAUGGUUGAUAUAAUCCUGUAGCUAAAACAAAUCAAAGGUCAGAAGGGCUGAGUUUUUCCUCUUAUGUGACAAGCCACCUGUUUUUCUCUUCUAGUGUUCCAUUUGGAAGGAAGAAUAGUCUGUUCAACCCUCCCCACCCUGAAACACACAUACUCACACCACAUGUUCCAAAUGUUCCAAACUUCUUUUUUUUUUUUUUUUUUUUGAGACGGAGUCUCGCUCUGUCGCCCUGGAUGGAGUGCAGUGGCGCGAUCUUGGCUCACUGCAAGCUCUGCCUCCCAGGUUCACGCCAUUCUCCUGCCUCAGCCUCCCUAGUAGCUGGGACUACAGGCGCCCACCACCAUGCCCGGCUAAUUUUUUGUAUUUUUAGUAGAGACGGGGUUUCAUCGUGUUAGCCAGGAUGGUCUCAAUCUCCUGACCUCAUGAUCCACCCGCCUCCGCCUCCCAAAGUGCUGGGAUUACAGGCAUGAGCCACCGCCCCUGGCCCCAAACUUCUUAAUAGAACACUGGCUUUCCCAAUUAGAGGUUUGACUGAUUUUUCUACCAUAACAAUACUAGCACCUAAUAAAAUCUUAUUAGGAUAGUUAAAUGAUGAAAUUCGCUCAUUCAUUAAAAUCAUAUUUAUUGAGCAAAUACUAUGUUUCCAGCUCUGUGAUAGGCUCAGGAGAGACGAAGAUAAAGACUCUCUUAGUACGUUAAUAGUUAUGGAAGGAAAUGGCUCAGAAAAGCCUGAAAUUUAAGUAAUGUGUAUAUUUCAGUUAUUGAUAACUACUAUGAGAAAAGUGCAAAACAGCAAUGGCCUGUCAUGCUAGGUAAGAAGGCUGCUAGUUUGGCUUAGAUGUGUAAAGUGGUCUUUUCUAGGGAGGCGAUAUUUGAGUUGAGAUCUAAAUGAAGAGAAGGAUGGUCAAAUGAACUCCUCGUAAGAGCACUUCAGGCAAAGAGAGAGGUCUCUGAGUGCUCACAAUGGGCUUGGCAUGUACAAGGGAAAGAG
rnacentral:lncRNA from 1 species